UACGUAGGGUGCGAGCGUUAAUCGGAAUUACUGGGCGUAAAGAGCUCGUAGGUGGUUUGUCGCGUUGUUCGUGAAAACUCACAGCUCAACUGUGGGCGUGCGGGCGAUACGGGCAGACUGGAGUACUGCAGGGGAGACUGGAAUUCCUGGUGUAGCGGUGGAAUGCGCAGAUAUCAGGAGGAACACCGGUGGCGAAGGCGGGUCUCUGGGCAGUAACUGACGCUGAGGAGCGAAAGCGUGGGGAGCGAACAGG
rnacentral:rRNA from 1 species